rnacentral:rRNA from 1 species
GACGAACGCUGGCGGCGUGCUUAACACAUGCAAGUCGAACGGAAAGGCCCUGCUUUUGUGGGGUGCUCGAGUGGCGAACGGGUGAGUAACACGUGAGUAACCUGCCCUUGACUUUGGGAUAACUUCAGGAAACUGGGGCUAAUACCGGAUAGGAGCUCCUGCUGCAUGGUGGGGGUUGGAAAGUUUCGGCGGUUGGGGAUGGACUCGCGGGUUAUCAGCUUGUUGGGGGGGUAGUGGCUUACCAAGGCUUUGACGGGUAGCCGGCCUGAGAGGGUGACCGGCCACAUUGGGACUGAGAUACGGCCCAGACUCCUACGGGAGGCAGCAGUGGGGAAUAUUGCACAAUGGGCGGAAGCCUGAUGCAGCAACGCCGCGUGCGGGAUGACGGCCUUCGGGUUGUAAACCGCUUUCGCCUGUGACGAAGCGUGAGUGACGGUAAUGGGUAAAGAAGCACCGGCUAACUACGUG